GACAGAGGUUGCAAACGUUGUUCGGAAUCACUGGGCAUAAAGCGCACGUAGGCGGCCAACUAAGUCAGGUGUGAAAUCCCCCGGCUCAACCGGGGAACUGCGCCUGAUACUGGUUGGCUUGAGAACGGUAGGGGUGAGCGGAACUCCAGGUGGAGCGGUGAAAUGCGUAGAUAUCAGGAGGAACACCUGUGGUGUAGACAGCUUACUGGACCAUUUCUGACGCUGAGACACGAAAGCGUGGGUAGCAAACAGG
rnacentral:rRNA from 1 species